AGAGUAUAGCUCAAGUGGUAGAGUGCUUGCUUAGCAUGCAUGAGGUCCUGGGUUCAACACCCAGAAAUUCUU
rnacentral:tRNA from 1 species